rnacentral:rRNA from 1 species
AGUAACCGUAAGGAGCUAGCCGCCUAAGGUGGGACAGAUGAUUGGGGUGAAGUCGUAACAAGGUAGCCGUAUCGGAAGGUGCGGCUGGAUCACCUCCUUUCUAAGGA